UAUGCAUAGACAGGGGGUACCGGUACAGAGUCAAAGUGCAGGGGCACCGGUUAGUCCAGGUAAUAUGUAUAUGCAUAGACAGGGGGUACCGGUACAGAGUCAAAGUGCAGGGGCACCGGUUAGUCCAGGUAAUAUGUAUAUGCAUAGACAGGGGGUACCGGUACAGAGUCAAAGUGCAGGGGCACCGGUUAGUCCAGGUAAUAUGUAUAUGCAUAGACAGGGGGUACCGGUACAGAGUCAAAGUGCAGGGGCACCGGUUAGUCCAGGUCAUAUGUAUAUGCAUAGACAGGGGGCACCGGUUAGUCCAGGUCAUAUGUAUAUGCAUAGACAGGGGGCACCGGUUAGUCCAGGUCAUAUGUAUAUGCAUAGACAGGGGGCACCGGUUAGUCCAGGUCAUAUGUAUAUGCAUAGACAGGGGGCACCGGUUAGUCCAGGUCAUAUGUAUAUGCAUAGACAGGGGGCACCGGUUAGUCCAGGUCAUAUGUAUAUGCAUAGACAGGGGGCACCGGUUAGUCCAGGUCAUAUGUAUAUGCAUAGACAGGGGGCACCGGUUAGUCCAGGUCAUAUGUAUAUGCAUAGACAGGGGGCACCGGUUAGUCCAGGUCAUAUGUAUAUGCAUAGACAGGGGGCACCGGUUAGUCCAGGUCAUAUGUAUAUGCAUAGACAGGGGGCACCGGUUAGUCCAGGUCAUAUGUAUAUGCAUAGACAGGGGGCACCGGUUAGUCCAGGUCAUAUGUAUAUGCAUAGACAGGGGGCACCGGUUAGUCCAGGUCAUAUGUAUAUGCAUAGACAGGGGGCACCGGUUAGUCCAGGUCAUAUGU